GAAUAAAGCUCCUUUAGAAGAGAUGAGAGAAGUCACUACUUCUGACCUUAUUGAUCAAAAAUUAUUAGUGGCAAAAUGAAGGAGCAACUUUGCUGAGUUUUCCUAAUGUUCACUUUUCAAAACUUACACCUGGUUUUAAUCUGAAUUCGUCUAACUGAGUGUUAUUUUCCCCUGCAGUACAUCCCCUGGCCUACUAGUCUCAAGCUCACCUGCAGGAGCAGUGAGGAAUGGGAGUUCUUAAAAUCUCUUUUACAUAUACGAAGAGUGAGCACCAAGAAUUUGUUCUACAAAUACAUUUAUCAGAAGAUGAAAAGAGGAAGGUAGCACCAGAUGGUACCAAGGGGGAGAGCUGUGGGUGCGGAGAUCCCGGCCGCCAGGCCACGUGCUGGCUUCGUCUCUGCUUGAUGAAUGGGGAAAAUGAGGUUAUCUCGGAGGUCAAGCACAGAAGCAGAAUUAGAGCCAAAGCCCCUGAGCCCCAGGCCAGCUAUGGUGCCCACUACUCAUCACAAAUGAUACUGGCCCCUGACCAACAAUACAUACUAUAGGAAUCUACUUCGCAAAGUUUGGGCUGAAGCCAGGGCAGGGCCUUGGGAAGGCAGCCCAGCCGUGUCCCAUCCCUCCUCCAGCCCAUUACACCGUAACGGCUCCCUGACUGGGCUUCUUCUGGUAAAGGGCUGGGCUGCACUGGAAACUCAAGCCCAGUAANNNNNCCCCCAAUCUUAAUUUUAAAACUAAAAGUUGAGGCAGAGGGGCUCCCUGGCCACCAGCCCAGCCCUCAGGCCCUGGCCCCAUGCUGGCAGGAAGAGGCGAGGGCCUGCAGCACAGGGGUGCAGGAAGUAAAUGGCAGGAAAAGUGAGGGGCUGUGAUGGCCACUUACGGAGUUGCAUGCAUGAGUAGCUAAUUCCACCCAGGGUUAAUCUAACUCAGGUACUGAUGUGGGCAUUUAGAUAGCGGAUAACUCAUGCUGUCAUUAACCUGUCAGCAUUACAGCAGGAAGAUUAUAUCUUCACAAGAAUAUAUUGAUCCAGAAAGGGACGUGUUAGGCAUGACCAAGCUUUUUCUAUGCUGUCUUUUACCACCUGCUUUUCCCCUGAUCAAAGAUGCUUAAUGUGUGUGGUCAGUGCAAGAAAAACCCGUGUUUUCCUCUGGGCUGCAUAGAUAUUUUUCUUUGUCCUCUUCCCCAUUAUCUUGGGUGCAAUCUAAAUACCUGGUUGUUUACACAGCCUCUUCCUUUUCAUGCUGAUGGAGCAGCAAAUGUAAGAUAGCAGUCUCUGACCACCUACCACAGCCUUCUUCAGAGAGACCUGUGGUCACUGUGUAUCCUCUGAGCAGCACAGAGGCCGGGUGGCUCUGAAGUGGAAGCUGAGUGUGUAACACAAGAUGUUGCUGGAGGUACAAAGUCCUGCUCAACAGAGGACUUAGCAGCUCAAGGACUGCACUGCGCUCAAGUAGCUUUCCAGGUUUUGGAUCAGAAUGAGUUUCUCUAAAUAUUCAGAGCUUGGGAAGAGUUUACCAGGGUACACUGGCUAGAAAUGUAUUGCAGCA
rnacentral:lncRNA from 1 species